rnacentral:rRNA from 1 species
AUUGAACGCUGGCGGCAGGCCUAACACAUGCAAGUCGAGCGGAUGAAGGGAGCUUGCUCCUGGAUUCAGCGGCGGACGGGUGAGUAAUGCCUAGGAAUCUGCCUGGUAGUGGGGGAUAACGUCCGGAAACGGGCGCUAAUACCGCAUACGUCCUGAGGGAGAAAGUGGGGGAUCUUCGGACCUCACGCUAUCAGAUGAGCCUAGGUCGGAUUAGCUAGUUGGUGGGGUAAAGGCCUACCAAGGCGACGAUCCGUAACUGGUCUGAGAGGAUGAUCAGUCACACUGGAACUGAGACACGGUCCAGACUCCUACGGGAGGCAGCAGUGGGGAAUAUUGGACAAUGGGCGAAGGCCUGAUCCAGCCAUGCCGCGUGUGUGAAGAAGGUCUUCGGAUUGUAAAGCACUUUAAGUUGGAAGGAAGGGCAGUAAGUUAAUACCUUGCUGUUUUGACGUUACCAAAAGAAUAAGCACCGGCAAACUUCGU